rnacentral:rRNA from 1 species
AUACGUAGGUGGCAAGCGUUGUCCGGAAUUAUUGGGCGUAAAGCGCAUGUAGGCGGUUUGGUAAGUCGGUCGUGAAAAUGCGGUGCUUAACGCCGUAUGGCGAUUGAAACUGCUGAACUUGAGUGCAGGAGAGGAAAGGGGAACUCCCAGUGUAGCGGUGAAAUGCGUAGAUAUUGGGAAGAACACCGGUGGCGAAGGCGCCGUUCUGGGCUGUGUCCGGCGCUCAGAUGAGAAAGCCAGGGUAGCGAAAGGGAUUUGAUCCACCGGUAGUCCUGGCCGGAAACGAUGGGUACUAGGUGUGGGAGGUAUCGACUCCUUCCGUGCCGGAGUUAACGCAAUAAGUACCCCGCCUGGGGAGUACGGCCGCAAGGCUUAAACUCAAAGGAAUUGCCGGGG